rnacentral:rRNA from 1 species
UACGAAGGGGGCUAGCGUUGCUCGGAAUCACUGGGCGUAAAGCGCACGUAGGCGGAUUGUUAAGUCAGGGGUGAAAUCCUGGAGCUCAACUCCAGAACUGCCUUUGAUACUGGCGAUCUUGAGUCCGGGAGAGGUGAGUGGAACUGCGAGUGUAGAGGUGAAAUUCGUAGAUAUUCGAAAGAACACCAGUGGCGAAGGCGGCUCACUGGCCCGGUACUGACGCUGAGGUGCGAAAGCGUGGGGAGCAAACAGG